rnacentral:rRNA from 1 species
CGGGAAUUUUGGGCAAUGGGCGAAAGCCUGACCCAGCAACGCCGCGUGAGGGAUGAAGUAUUUCGGUAUGUAAACCUCGAAAGAAUGGGAAGAAUAAACGACGGUACCAUUUAUAAGCUCCGGCUAACUACGUGCCAGCAGCCGCGGUAAUACGUAGGGAGCAAGCGUUGUUCGGAUUUACUGGGCGUAAAGGGCGCGUAGGCGGCGCGGUAAGUCACUUGUGAAAUCUCUGAGCUUAACUCAGAACGGCCAAGUGAUACUGCUGUGCUAGAGUGCGGAAGAGGCAACCGGAAUUCUUGGUGUAGCGGUGAAAUGCGUAGAUAUCAAGAGGAACACCUGAGGCGAAGGCGGGUUGCUGGGCCGACACUGACGCUGAUGCGCGAAAGCCAGGGGAGCAAACG